UGGCUAUGAGGAUAACCCUUAAAAUGAAUGGCAAUGAUCACUUCAUACGCUAUUCUGAGCCAACU
ensembl:snoRNA small nucleolar RNA, C/D box 54